GGGGGGGCGCAGGCAGCUCUGCUAGAAAUCUCAGUUGUUUUCUCGAGAUCAUGAAAUAAUUAUCACGGAAUAAAAGUGUUGUUUUCUCGAGAUCUCUAAUUAAUUAUGUCGUUAUCUCGGGAUAACAAGGUGAAUUAAAAAAGAUUAUAUGAAGUCCUCUGUCGGCUUCCAUAUAAA